rnacentral:rRNA from 1 species
UGGGGAAUAUUGCACAAUGGGCGCAAGCCUGAUGCAGCCAUGCCGCGUGUAUGAAGAAGGCCUUCGGGUUGUAAAGUACUUUCAGCGGGGAGGAAGGGAGUAAAGUUAAUACCUUUACCCAUUGACGUUACCCACCGAAGAAGCACCGGCUAACUCCGUUCCAGCAGCCGCGGUAAUACGGAGGGUGCAAGCGUUAAUCGGAAUUACUGGGCGUAAAGCGCACGCAGGCGGUUUGUUGAGUCAGAUGUGAAAUCCCCGGGCUCAACCUGGGAACUGCAUCUGAUACUGGUAAGCUUGAGUCUCGUAGAGGGGGGUAGAAUUCCAGGUGUAGCGGUGAAAUGCGUAGAGAUCUGGAGGAAUACCGGUGGCGAAGGCGGCCCCCUGGACAAAGACUGACGCUCAGGUGCGAAAGCGUGGGGAGCAAACAGG